rnacentral:lncRNA from 1 species
GGGAACAUUCCUGCUGCUAAUUGAAAGGAAAGAGCUGACGGUGACCUUGGCCAUUGUGGGGGGUGGGGGAGUCACGCGGGGCUGCGAGGUGUGGGGUGCGGGGGCAGCAGGGGAUGGAGUUCGGGGAGUCUGGACCCCAGCUGCUUCCCAGUCCCGGUGAUCCUCGGUCCUCAGAGCCUGUGUCUCCCCUGAGCGCUGGCACCCCCGGCCCUGCUUCCUCCACCGCCCUGCCCUGCUCCAAGCCCCGGAGUCCAAGCCCCAAUGUCAGCCCCUCACCCUUCAUCAGCUCCCAGCUUCCCCUUUCCCUUCUCCACCGCCAAGAUCAGCUCAAGCACAGCCACCUCCUCCAGGCAGCCUUCCAGGAAGGAACCUCCUCCCAGCCCUCCCAGGAUGCAGCACGGAGGCCCCCAGGGCCAUCCCAGUCUCUGGGGCACCGAGAACCCUAAACGGGUUACGGCAGAGAGGCAUCACCCCGGGGGAGAGGAGAAGACGGAGGUCAAAGCAGGCCACAGAUGCAGAGAAGCAAACCUGUUGCCUAUUAACCUGGGGUGGGAAGGGACCCUGCCCGGGCCCUCAGGGGAAGACGGGGCAGUGAGGCGUGAACGGGGCCUUCCCUGGCUUUCAGCAGGGUCUCAGGGCAAACCCUGCUGCAGAGGCCCCAUGGUCCCUCCCCACGCGACUGCACUCCAGCCACACUCCUGAGACGUCCCACAGAGCUCCCACUGCAGGGCCAUUGUGCUGGCUGCAUUGCUGCCUGGUGCACGGUCACCCAGACCUCCCCGGGCCUCAGGCCCAAGGCCUUUCUGCAGACGUCACCUCCUCAUUUAGGCCUCUUCUGUCCUAAUUUUCAGCCCCAGGCACCCCUGCAGCUGUCACCACCCGGAUCACUUUACUUAUCUUUUUCUUUUCUUUUUUUUUGAGAUGGAGUCUCCCUCUGUUGCCCAGGCUGGAGUGCGGUGGCGCGAUCUCGGCUCGCUGCAACCUCCGCCUCCUGGGUUCAAGCGAUUCUCCUGCCUCAGCC